AACGGAACGCAUUUCAGAAGUUGCAUUCAAAUUCAUGUAUGCAAAUGCAGAAGGUGGAUGCAAUGAAAAGGAAUCGACCAUUUUGUGUAAGCAAAAUACUUUAGCUGUUAAGGUUCACCUAAGGCAGCAAUAGAUGAUAAACACCACAUAACUAUUUGAUUAUAAAGAAAUGUACCAACUACUCCAAGAGCACUCAUCCAUAAACCGGUUACUAGUACAAAUAACAUAAAGAAAUGUAACCAACGUUUAUAGGAAAAAGCAACCCCAAAGAUUUGGGACCAAAAGCGGAUAGCGGUGACCAUUGAAUAAUUUUCUUUGGCUUGAGUUGGGUUAAAAGCACGGAAUGUAUAAGUGAAUUUUCUGUGUAUAUUCCUUGUACACAAAAUGUGUAUUUAUACAAGUAGAUGAAUGAAAAAAUAAAAAAUAAAUAUUAAAUCCUAUACAUUUUUGUCUACUUCCAUUGGCUGCUAGAAUAACAACUUUAUGAAAAUAUACGCUACUCUAUGCUAGGAAGUUUCCAAGAAUAUCACAAUUGUAUAUUUUGUGAAAAUAUCACAGCAGUUAAUCUGAUCCGAGAUGGCCUAGAGUGUUAUCAAACCUGAAAGAAAUUGUUGCCGUACGAAGUGGCAAUAGAGUUCAACAUGCUUAGUCCUCUCGUGGAAGACCGGAUCCCGAUGUGUAUAGUAGCCUUGCUAUCAAAGUGAACAGGAACAAGCAAAGAUGGAGUGAUGGAAAGAUAUUCAAGAAUAUGAGUUAACCGAGUAAGUUCUGUUGUAACCCUUCUCAUAGAUCUAUACUCCGAUUCAGCUGAGGACAAGGAAUAGAAGUCUCACUACAAGAAAAAAAUAUUUGGCAACAAAAUUAUUUUUGUUGCAAAAAGUACUUUUGGAAACAAUUUUUUUUUUGUUGCCAAAAUUACUUUUCCCAACGGCUGUUAUUGCAACAACAUGCAACAACUUUUUUGUUUGGUUGCCAAAAGUACUUUUUGCAACAAUAAUCAAUACUAUGACAACAAAAUUAAAUUCUUUGGCAACAAAAAAAAAUCAUUUGCCAACAAUAAACUAAGUAGUUGCCAAAUAUUAAAUUUUUUGUUGCCAUUUCUAUACUUUCUUGUAGUGUGUUUCUUCGAUUUACAAGAAAUAGGUGCUCCUCCUAAGCUUAUAAAGAAACCACUGACAGAUUUGCAUGUGUCUUUGCAGGAUGCCCAGUCGGCAAUGCAAAAGGCAAUGAGGGAAAAUGCUGGAUCCAGUUAAAGAACAAACCUUGACCAGGAUUAACUCGUCGAUAACGCGGUACACGCAAAGCAACCAUGAAAUGACCCAUACAAAGCUGUAGCAUAUAUUGACUCAAAGUCGAUACUGCAAUAGACAAGUCCGGCCUUGUAUGGGUAAGAUAAUUGAGUUUUCCAACAACUCGUCUGUAGAUUGUUGGAUCAGCAAGUAAAGGGCCUGAUGAUGCACAAAUCUUUGAUGAAGGAUCAAGAGGAGAUGAAACUACAGGUAAAUUGUCACAAUCAAACUCCUGUAAUAGUUCCAUUGUGAAUUUUCUUUGACUUACUAUAAAUCCUUGUGGUUCUCAUAGAAUUUCCAACCCUAUAAAAUAGUGUAAUUCACCUAGAACCUUGAUUUUGAAUUCAGUAUUGAGAAAAAGCUUGAUUGCUUCAAACUCUGAGGGAUCACUCCCAUUGAAGAGAAUAUCAUCAACAUAGACAGCAAUAAUUGAAAUGAGGUUUCCUCUUUU